GGUGGAAGAACAAGAGGAUUCAAACCCAGGGUUAGAUGAAGCAGACACGACAGUUGGUACACUGGAAAAUAUUGAUGAACCAAACAACGAUGCUGCAGUCGAAGCAAUAGCAGUUAAAAUUCCUACGCCGGUUGUACCCA